rnacentral:rRNA from 1 species
UACAGAGGUGCCGAGCGUUAGGCGGAAUCACUGGGCUUAAAGCGUGUGUAGGCGGACUUCUAAGUACCUUGUGAAAUCCCACGGCUCACCCGUGGAACUGCUGGGUAUACUGGUCGUCUUGAGCCACCUAGGGGCGAGCGGAACAAUGGUGGAGCGGUGAAAUGCGUAGAUAUCAUUUGGAACGCCAACGGUGAAAACAGCUCGCUGGGGGUGUGCUGACGCUGAGACACGAAAGCCAGGGUAGCGAACGGG